CUCUCCCUAAUCCCUCGCGAGCCCAUCAUCCAUAAUCGCCCGCUCCGCUUCGGUCGCCUCACCGCCAGCUUGCGUCGCCGCCAGCUCUCCUCGCCAGAUCCACUGCUCCGCCGGCCAGCUCGAUCCGCCUCGCACAUCCACCUCGCCGGCCAGCUUCCGCCCCCUGUUUCUCCUUCGAUCCAUGCCGUCCAGCGUCACGACUGCCCCCUAUUCCUCUCCACCGAUGCGUACCCCGGGCGACGGUUCUCCAUCCUGGCAUUAGCAGUUCGAGGCCCCAAUCAUGGCUGCGAUUCGUGCUUUGCCGGGCUCCACCAUCGAUUAAAUCCGCUGCAUUGGGGUUUCUCCUGCCGGCCGUAGAACAGGCAUCUGAUUGCAAAAAUUCCGCCCUAUUCAAAGCACGCACUUCCAAAUCCAAGGUAUUUGAACUAGGUCUAUCGCCCUGGUUUGGGGAUUUUUAGUUUUUGCAAUGGAAAUUUCUUUGUAAUUCAUCCAGCAGCCUAGUAUUGGUGACAAUCUUCCUUAGUUCCAAUAGUUUUUCAGUGCUUCCAUUGAAUCUGACGACUGAUGUGCCAAUUAUAUUUCAGCGCUACAGAGCUACCAAUAUAUAUGUACCCAUAGUUAGCGGUAAUUUUGUUUGGUUUUCAUGUUUAAAAUUAUCAUGCUUCCAUCUAAGACUAAAAUUGCACUCUCUGCAGUUUGUCCCAGCUUCAUACACUCAUGCUUCUAAUUUGUAACCAAUUUGCAACUGCCGUCUAGAAAAAAUGCUUCCAUUUUUAGUGCUUCCUACAUUCGAAAAUGUGACCAAUUCUGACCAAUUUGUCACGCUCAUCUCUUAAUCGCUCACAAUAGGUUAAGAUCUGUGUGGUGGCAACACAACAGAUGCAUCCUCAUAAUGGCACCAAGCUUACUAAUGCCAAUGUAAUGUGCCGUAUAGUUGAGUGUCCAUACUUCGUGCUUCCUACAUUCUUGAUGUCAUCAGUACCGUCAACAAAUAUACUUUUGUUAGUUCUCAUGUAUUGCUUCUGUACAACUAAUUUCCUGUUUAAUUCAGUCAACAAAUAUACUUUAUGUUCGCUUGAUCUUGCAGUUCAAAUUUCUAUGCUCCCAUCUAAUAUGGGUCAGGUUGUGAUCAUACUGAUGAUGACAAUUCUGAAUUAUAGUUCAUAAGCUUUUCCUGUUUAAAUAGUUGCUUCCAUGAAAACUGCUUCUUCUUUUUGCAUUUUUGUUAUAAACAUUGUCUUGUAAGCAUUCUAGAGAUCUAUAUUGCAUGGUUAUGUGCUUGGAUUACAAGCAGCAAAUGGAAGGUAGCAAGGUAGCUUCGGCUUGUACUGAGGUGGCCUCCCUGCUUUCUAUCCUUGUCUCCUGCAUACAUAUCCAUGGCAGUGAAUUUAUGCAUCAACCAUUGCCAGUGUGUCCUUAUUUUAUUGUAUAUACAUUCUGCUUCAACCAAUACUUGUCGGUGUGCUUCAAUCACUAUUCGUGUACGCUUCAGCCACGACUGGUGUUGCUUCUUUGACUACAGUUGUUGUACAUACUUUUUGCUUCUUCCAGUGAUCCUUAUUUGUACAUGUUUCCAUGGUAGUAAACUUUUGCUUCAACCAUUGCCCAUGUACGCUUCUUUUAUGAUAUAGACAUUUUGGUCCAACAAAUUCCAUGUGUGCUUCAACCAUGGCUAGUGUGGCUUCUUUUACUGAUUUUUUAAUCAAAAUAGUAGGGAAGACCCAUACAAUUCUUUUACCGAUAUUAUUACACAUACAUUUUGCUUCUUGCAGCAAAAAAAUUGUUUCAACAACUACCAUACGUGCUUAAUUGUUUGUCACUGAUGUUUCUGUUGCAGACAUUUCGUUCCGCUCGAUGUAGUCAUGCUUCCUCAUAUCCAGCACAAGGGCUAAGGUGACGCAACCUCUAGGCAAUGUUGUUUGUUGGUGGUUGCCUUGUUGCCGACGAAGAACUCGAGGUGCACGUGGAGCUCACACAUGAUCGGCUACUUCAACGCGCAGUGAUGCUGGCUAUGCAGAAGUGAAAUUAUUGUUGUUUGGAUAAAAGUGUAUAAUGUUACCAUAGAAAUAGAAAUAAUGCUAGUUAAAUUUGUAUAAUGUGAAUAGUCAAAAAAAAUUGUAUAAUGUUCUUAUCAGUUAAAUUUGUGCAUAUGUAUAUUCUUGUUUAGCUUCCAUACAUUUUAUUUUGCCAAAUGCCAUCAAACGCAAAUAUUGUUUCUGCUACACCAAAAUAUAUUUCCAAAUCAUCGAAAUGCUACCAUAGAAAUAGAAAAAAUGCUUCUAUUCAUGCAAAAAA
rnacentral:lncRNA from 1 species